rnacentral:tRNA from 5 species
GCCUUCGUGAUGGAAUUGGCAGACAUCCUGGUUUUAGGAACCAGUGCCGCAAGGCGUGCCGGUUCGAGUCCGGCCGAAGGCA